CAGUCGCCACGGGAAUACAGAGGGUGCGAGCGUUAAUCGGAUUUACUGGGCGUAAAGCGUGCGUAGGCGGCUUCUUAAGUCGGAUGUGAAAUCCCUGAGCUUAACUUAGGAAUUGCAUUCGAUACUGGGAAGCUAGAGUAUGGGAGAGGAUGGUAGAAUUCCAGGUGUAGCGGUGAAAUGCGUAGAGAUCUGGAGGAAUACCGGUGGCGAAGGCGGCCCCCUGGACAAAGACUGACGCUCAGGUGCGAAAGCGUGGGGAGCAAACAGGAUUAGAUACCCCUGUAGUCCCUGUCUCUUAUAC
rnacentral:rRNA from 1 species